rnacentral:rRNA from 1 species
AAGGGCUCACCAAGGCGACGAUCCCUAGCUGGUCUGAGAGGAUGAUCAGCCACACUGGAACUGAGACACGGUCCAGACUCCUACGGGAGGCAGCAGUGGGGAAUAUUGCACAAUGGGCGCAAGCCUGAUGCAGCCAUGCCGCGUGUGUGAAGAAGGCCUUCGGGUUGUAAAGCACUUUCAGUCGUGAGGAAGGUAGUGUAGUUAAUAGCUGCAUUAUUUGACGUUAGCGACAGAAGAAGCACCGGCUAACUCCGUGCCAGCAGCCGCGGUAAUACGGAGGGUGCG